rnacentral:rRNA from 1 species
CCUACGAGAGGCAGCAGUGAGGACUAUUGGUCAAUGGUCGGGAGCCUGAACCAGCCAAGUCGCGUGAGGGAAGACGGUCCUAUGGAUUGUACACCUCUUUAGGCGGGGAGCCAUGCCGCGCACGCGUGCCCGGAGGGAGAGUACCCGCCGAAUAAUCAUCGGCUAACUCCGUGCCAGCAGCCGCGGUAAUACGGGGGAUGCGAGCGUUAUUCGGAUUUAUUGGGUUGAAAGGGUGCGUAGGCGGAUUUUUAAGUCAGCGGUAAAAUGUCCGGGCUCAACCCGGGCCGGCCGUUGAAACUGGGGAUCUUGAGUGGGCGAGAAGUAUGCGGAAGGCGUGGGGUAGCGGUGAAAUGCAUAGAUAUCACGCAGAACUCCGAUUGCGAAGGCAGCAUACCGGCGCCCGACUGACGCUGAGGCACGAAAGCGUGGGGAUCGAACAGGAUUAGAUACCCCGGUAGUC